GCAGGGGCAGUCAAGCUAACAAUUUUUGAGAUGCUUUCUUCCUUGCUCUUUCUGACGCCAGGUCGACAAUUGAUUAUGUCCUCAUUACGGUGAGCAUAUAGAAUACCUAACUCCUCAAGAACAGGUUUAUUUUUGGUAGCACUGUUAUCAUCACUUGACCUGUUGAUCUCCGACUCCGAUAAAAUUGUUGCACCAACUUGUUUCUGAGGAAGAAAACAACUCGCAAUUUCAGGAAGAAAACAACUCGCAAUUUCAGGUAGUUCAUGCUUUGUAGUAGAGCAAUGUCCAUCA
rnacentral:misc_RNA from 1 species